rnacentral:rRNA from 1 species
ACGCUCGACACCUACGGGAGGCAGCAGUGGGGAAUAUUGCACAAUGGGGGAAACCCUGAUGCAGCGACGCCGCGUGAGCGAAGAAGUAUUUCGGUAUGUAAAGCUCUAUCAGCAGGGAAGAAGAAAGACGGUACCUGACUAAGAAGCCCCGGCUAACUACGUGCCGCAGCCGCGGUAAUCUGAGCGGGCUGGCAAGGC